ACGAACGCUGGCGGCACGCUUAACACAUGCAAGUCGAACGAGAGAAGAGAAGCUUGCUUUUCUGAUCUAGUGGCGGACGGGUGAGUAACACGUGAGCAAUCUGCCUUUCAGAGGGGGAUACCGAUUGGAAACGAUCGUUAAUACCGCAUAAUAUAAUUGAACCGCAUGAUUUGAUUAUCAAAGAUUUAUCGCUGAAAGAUGAGCUCGCGUCUGAUUAGCUAGUUGGUAAGGUAACGGCUUACCAAGGCGACGAUCAGUAGCCGGACUGAGAGGUUGAUCGGCCACAUUGGGACUGAGACACGGCCCAGACUCCAACGGGAGGCAGCAGUGGGGAAUAUUGCACAAUGGAGGAAACUCUGAUGCAGCGAUGCCGCGUGAGGGAAGAAGGUUUUAGGAUUGUAAACCUCUGUCUUCAGGGACGAAAAAAGACGGUACCUGAGGAGGAAGCUCCGGCUAACUACGUGCCAGCAGCCGCGGUAAUACGUAGGGAGCGAGCGUUGUCCGGAAUUACUGGGUGUAAAGGGAGCGUAGGCGGGAUCGCAAGUCAGAUGUGAAAACUAUGGGCUUAACCCAUAAACUGCAUUUGAAACUGUGGUUCUUGAGUGAAGUAGAGGUAAGCGGAAUUCCUAGUGUAGCGGUGAAAUGCGUAGAUAUUAGGAGGAACAUCAGUGGCGAAGGCGGCUUACUGGGCUUUAACUGACGCUGAGGCUCGAAAGCGUGGGGAGCAAACAGGAUUAGAUACCCUGGUAGUCCACGCCGUAAACGAUGAUUACUAGGUGUGGGGGGACUGACCCCUUCCGUGCCGCAGCAAACGCAAUAAGUAAUCCACCUGGGGAGUACGACCGCAAGGUUGAAACUCAAAGGAAUUGACGGGGGCCCGCACAAGCAGUGGAGUAUGUGGAUUAAUUCGAAGCAACGCGAAGAACCUUACCAGGUCUUGACAUCGUAUGCAUAGCUCAGAGAUGAGUGAAAUCUCUUCGGAGACAUAUAGACAGGUGGUGCAUGGUUGUCGUCAGCUCGUGUCGUGAGAUGUUGGGUUAAGUCCCGCAACGAGCGCAACCCUUACUGUUAGUUGCUACGCAAGAGCACUCUAGCAGGACUGCCGUUGACAAAACGGAGGAAGGUGGGGAUGACGUCAAAUCAUCAUGCCCCUUAUGACCUGGGCCUCACACGUACUACAAUGGCUGUAAACAGAGGGAUGCAAAGCCGCGAGGUGGAGCGAACCCCUAAAAGCAGUCUUAGUUCGGAUUGUAGGCUGCAACCCGCCUACAUGAAGUCGGAAUUGCUAGUAAUCGCAGAUCAGCAUGCUGCGGUGAAUACGUUCCCGGGCCUUGUACACACCGCCCGUCACGCCAUGGGAGUCGGUAACACCCGAAGCCUGUAGUCUAACCGCAAGGAGGACGCAGUCGAAGGUGGGAUUGAUGACUGGGGUG
rnacentral:rRNA from 1 species